AUUGAACGCUGGCGGCAUGCUUUACACAUGCAAGUCGAACGGUAACAGGCCGCAAGGUGCUGACGAGUGGCGAACGGGUGAGUAAUGCAUCGGAACGUGCCCAGUCGUGGGGGAUAACGCAGCGAAAGCUGCGCUAAUACCGCAUACGAUCUAUGGAUGAAAGCGGGGGACCGUAAGGCCUCGCGCGAUUGGAGCGGCCGAUGUCAGAUUAGGUAGUUGGUGGGGUAAAGGCUCACCAAGCCAACGAUCUGUAGCUGGUCUGAGAGGACGACCAACCAAACGGGGAGUGAGACACGGCCCAGACUCCUACGGGAGGCAGCAGUGGGGAAUUUUGGACAAUGGGCGCAAGCCUGAUCCAGCAAUGCCGCGUGCAGGAAGAAGGCCUUCGGGUUGUAAACUGCUUUUGUACGGAACGAAACGGUCCUGGUUAAUACCCGGGGCUAAUGACGGUACCGUAAGAAUAAGCACCGGCUAACUACGUGCCAGCCGCCGCCGUAAUAC
rnacentral:rRNA from 1 species